rnacentral:rRNA from 1 species
GUGCACCAGGCGCGAAUCUUCGGCAAUGGGCGAAAGCCUGACCGAGCGACGCCGCGUGGCGGGAAGAAGGCCUUCGGGUUGUAAACCGCUUUUCUCAGGGAACAAUCCCGCUUUAGCGGGAUGAGGGUACCUGAGGAAUAAGGGGGGGCUAAUCACGUGCCCAGCAGGCAGCGGUAAUACGUGACCCCCGAGCGUUAUCCGGAUUUACUGGGGCGUAAAAGAGCCCUUAAGGCGGAGGAGAAAGUCUUUCGUAAAUUCUCGGGGCUCAACCUCGAGAUUGCGAAAGAAACUUCUCCUCUUGAGGGCGUCAGAGGCCAGCGGAACGGCCGGUCG